UAUGAUAACAAUGCGCGGUGGGUGAUUCCGGAAGGGAAUAGCCACGCAAGGAAUACAGAACGCAAAAAUAAAAUCUGGAUCACGAAAACCUAUUCAAAUUUAUUUUUUCAUUAAUGCGAUUUUUGGAGAUUUGUAAAAUAUCACAGUGGACGUAUUAAGAAUUAUCUUGGGCGGGGGAAACCAAGGUCGGUUAUAAUUCCUCCCGAAAGGAUAAUUUGUUGUCAUUGUAAAGUAAGACGGUGAGAUGUACAGCUGAUCGUUCAGCAGCGGCUGGGAAUAAUGUAACAUUAUGUAUCCUUUCCGCAGGGUUCCAAUCCUGGGCCCAUGUUCCAAAUGACGUCAACGCCCAUCAGCCCGCCAUCUUUAUUGCAGGCAGAUAGGGCGCAGAUAGGGCGCCCAGGGUUGCCUUUGGCUUCACCUACAAGAUGCCAGUCUCAUGCAGCGCGCUUGAUUGCAAGAACCGCUUCAAGAAAGGAAGUGGCAUAACUUUCCACAGAUACAGCGUGGAAACAGGCCCUUUGGCCCACUGAGUCCAUGCUGACCAUCAACGUGAUCACUCAUAAGUGACAUCUGGGCAGUAUAAGGAAAUUGCUGGCAAACUGCUGUACAGAGAAUUGCAGAGCAGAUAAACAUAACAACUUGGAUCAACACAAACCUGAGCAUUCAGUUUCAGUAAGGCAUAUUCAUCUCAUUUACCAAUGGUUGUCUUGACGUAGAUUUCCUAUUUCAAGACCUGACCUCAUGGCAAAAUGGUUAAAAGCCGUAGCACGAGGAAACUGGGUGCCAUCACCGAGAGCAACACUCUGCAGUAAUCACUUCAUUAAGGAAUGCUUUGAAGAACGGAAUGAUAGAAGGCAUUUAAAGUUUUCCUCUGUACCAACCAUAUUUCCACCACCUAAAAAUAAGUUUACAGGCCCCAGAAAGUCCUAUAAAGCGAAGACUUAUGUUGGACACCACAAGGAAUCUUCAGAGGUGGAGAUGUCAGUCUUGCAAGCUCAUGAAACAUUACGUCAACCAGGCGAGCCAACUAAAGUAAAAGAUGAACCGUCUGAAUUAACCACUGACACUCUAAACUCGGGGCGAUUAGCUCAACUGGCUGCAGCAGCUGUCUUGAAUUUGGCAGAAUUCACUCAAGUAAUAGAAGUGCCCUUAAAACCUGAAGCAGAGUCUUCAGAAGUUCUCGCAGUCUUUAACUGCAGAGUGCAAACUGAAACACCUGCAACAGAGGACAAGAUGGAAUCUGUUCCAGAUGGAUUAAUCAUAGGUCGUUUAGAGGAAGAAUCUCAAGAUUCAGCUGCAGCUCUGUGUUCGGAUACCCUCCAUUGGACAGCCAAUGUAUUAUCAAGGCCUGAAGUACAAUCGGAUACAUGUACCACACUUGUGGGUUCGAUGGAUGUAUCUGCGGAUGUUUUGCCAUGUUUAUUUACAUCAUCUGCAGAGCCAGUAUCUGACAGAUCAACAAUAUCAGAGGGAACAACUUGGAUAUCUACAGAAGUACUUAUCCCUGAAACACAGACUCAUCUGUCCACCCCUGUUCAGCCAUCAGAAGAAUUGCAGUGUUCUUCUGAGACUGUGCUUUCUUCUCGGUAUGAUCAAGAUUUGACGGGAAUGACAUUUCCUCAGGAUCACAGUUAUUUCAUGAAUCCUUGUCCAGAUAUCAUCAGGAGAACUUUAGAAAAGAAGCUUGCUUGGGAAAGGAAGAAGAACGAAGAACAGCGGCAAAGGUUCAGAGUACUUCAACAAAAACUGAAGAGAAAAGAGCAGAAAAUUGACAGCCUUACCAAAAUUAUCAACGAGCUGAGGGAAAAUAAGUCUGGUGAUCUGUGGAACAGUAAUAUAUUGUAAUAAACGAGGAAAAGCUUUGUGAAUCUGCUGACUAGUUGCAGAAAAAUGUAUGUUUUUAUUGGAGGACAAACGAGUGAAAUUUUCUAGCUUAAUUUCUUUAAUGAGUGAGUUUGAUGUAUUUCAGCAAGAUUAAAUCAAAAUAGAUUCCGAAGUUGGGGUUAGUGCAUUUAUGUUUCAGCAGGUUGUUUUGAAAUAAAAUGGAAGCCUCUUACAAAUAGUGUCUCAAGACGUUUCAUAAAAUACUAAUUCAAUGAAUUGUACAACCUGGUUUUCAGAAAUGCUUCUCAACUGGCUGGAUAGGUGAGGGGGUGAGAGUCGUACUGUCUACUUCAUUUUGGAAUGGAUUGGAUCCAUAGGGCACUUUUCAAACUUGCAUUGAGUGUAUUUGUAUGUUAAGAGUGUAGUCAUUCAUAUUAGUGUUGGAAACGUCUAAAUUAUAAUGGAUUACACAUUGUCAUAACUCCACUGGUUAUGAGAAAGGAAUAGUUUGGCCAGAAUUGUUCUGUGGCAACUGGUCUCGGGUUGUAUCUAAUUUUUUUCAUUAAAAAUUAUUAUUAAUGUUUCAACCCUAA